UACGUAGGGUGCAAGCGUUUGUCCGGAAUUAUUGGGCGUAAAGAGCUCGUAGGCGGUCUGUCGCGUCUGCUGUGAAAACUCAAGGCUUAACCCUGAGCUUGCAGUGGGUACGGGCAGACUAGAGUGCGGUAGGGGAGACUGGAAUUCCUGGUGUAGCGGUGAAAUGCGCAGAUAUCGAGGAAGAACACCCGUGGCGAAGGCGGUUCUCUGGGACGGUACUGAC
rnacentral:rRNA from 1 species